AGGGCGCAGGCGCCGCGCGUGCUCAUCCUCGGCGGCGUGGGUGCUGCUCUUCGCCUCCAUCGGCUCCGCUGCCGGCUGUCUCUUACCCAGCCAGCUCCAUGAGGACCAAGCAAGUGAACUUCCUGAUCGCGUUCGCAGCGGUCGUGCUCUUCAGCUUCUCCUGCUUCUGCAUCUCUAGGAUGACUCAAACCAAUAAUCAAUUAAUUAAUUGUAGAAACCAUAUUCUGGAGUUUAAGGAAAAUAUGCUACGUUUAAAAAACAAAACUGAAACAAAUCGCCAAGAACUGAUGAAAACCUUGAAUAGAAUGAAGGAUGAAAUUGAACAGAGAGAAAAUCUAUCAGCACGCUUAGUUGAGAAGAAAGUGAAUACAUCAGAUAAGAUUGAAACCGUAACUAAUGCAUUUGAAAUCUUAAAGUUCUUUCUUCCUCAUCUAAGGAAAGUAGGCAGAAUUUAUCCUAAUGUAAUCAUUGGCAAAGAGAAAACAGGCGUUUCCUUUGCGCUGGGUAUUCCCACUGUUAACAGAGGAAAUCAUACUUACCUGAAGCAAACCCUGACCUCUAUUGUCUCCAGAAUGACUCUUUCGGAAGAGAAUGACUCUGUGGUUAUUGUCUCUAUUGCAGAUAGUAAUGAAGAUUAUGUAAAAUCUGUUGUUGACAUGAUUACAAAAAAAUUCAGAAAGCAAGUGAAGUCUGGGUCCUUAGAGGUCAUUUCAAUACCUGCCUAUUUUUAUCCACCCAUGUUACAUGACAAGGAAUCAACUGAGGACUCAGAAAAAUUAGAGCGUUGGAAAACCAAACAAGUAUUGGAUUUUUGUUUUUUGAUGCUGUAUGCCCAGCCCAAGGCCAUGUAUUAUUUACAGCUAGAAGAUGAUAUCAUAGCUAAGAAGAGCUACUUUACAACAAUCACAGAUUUCGUACAUAAUAUCACUUCAAAUACCUGGUUUUCUAUUGAGUUUCCAGUUCUUGGAUUCAUCGGAAAGCUAUUCAAAUCUGCGGACUUAACUGACUUUGUACAGUUUUUUUUAAUGUUCUACAAAGAUAAACCCAUAGACUGGCUUUUGGGGUACAUUUUUCAGAUAAAGAUGUGUCACCCAGGAGAAACAACUGAAAAGUGUAUAGAGCGAAAUAGGGAAAUUCGUAUUCGAUAUAAACCUUCCCUUUUCCAGCAUGUGGGUAUACAGUCAUCGUUCCCUGAAAGAGAACAACAUUUAAAAGAUAUCUAUUAUUAGGAGUUCCAUAAUUCUAACACUGUCUUUAAAAAUGAUUAGAAUAAUUCUUUGGAAAAAAAUAUCAUAACAAGGAUUAGAACAUUUCUCAACUUUCUUCAUAGUGGAUAAGAGACUACAUCGUAUUUUAAAAAGUUAAAAUUUCAAUAAUAAAGUGAAAAUAUGAAGAUAAUAAGCAUAGUAAGAAGAAACUCUGUAAUACCUUGGAACCUUAGAUGACCUUGAUUUCUAACGGCAUCUUUCAGAAAUUGUAAUAAUGAAAAUAUGUAAUUAUAUAGAAGAGGAUAAAACAAUGAACAAACUGGUGGACUUAGAAGUAUUAAACUAUCUCUUAUGUCCAGAAAAAUUACAACGUUUAUCUAUGGUGUUUGUGUUCUUACUAUUACAGUUUAAUUUGAAAAUAGUAAAAGCAGGGAAGUUUUUAAAAGUGAAGAAAUGUAUUUUGUUGACUUAGAUAGUGAUGCUAACACAUAAUUUCAAUAAAUAGCUAAAAGUUCAGAAACUUGCUGUUGUCAUUGAGAGGUUCCACGUGAACUGGUAUAUACUCUCAUCCAUUUUGUUAAGACAUCUAAAGAAAUAGUGCAAAUUUAAGCAAGUCUGGGUCUGGCAGUACAGCCACAAUAUCUUCUUGUCUUUUUAAUAAACGCAUUUAAAACUAUAAACUUACCCCUAAGUGCCAUUUGAGCUGAUUACCAAACAUCUCGAUAUGUACGUAUUCUGAUCAUCAUUCAGUUUUAAAGAUUUCAUACUUUCUCUUAUUAUUGCCCUCUUAACUCAUGGGUUAUUAGGGAAUGUGUAUGUGUUUGUUUUCCCAAAUAUAUUGGUUCUUGCCACCUUUUAUUGUUGAUUUAUCAUUUAAUUACAUGGUUGUUAGAGAACUUUGCGUGAUAAAAUUUGAGAAUUGUUAUGAAUUCUUAUGUUUCACGUGAAUUUGAAAAGAAUGUAUAGUCUCUGUAUGUCCUUUUAAAAUAUGUUGCGUUCAUUUGAUUUUACAAAUAUUAGUUUUGUGCUUUAAAAAUUUCUCCUUAAAAUAUUCCUAUUUACUGGAUGCAGGGCUGUCUUACAUCAGGCUUUUUAAUAUACUUAAGUCUUUUAAAUCUUUCCUAAUUUUUGUCUGCUUGAUCCAUCAUUUUCUUAUAGAAAUCUAUUAAAGCCUGCUAUUCUUCUUAUCAUUCUAUUGAGUUUGACUUUAUUUAUUUUGAGAAUUAAUCCGAGGUAUUUCUUCUUUCUUAUCCUUCAAUCAGAUAUGAAAAUCUUAAUUCAUACUGUUGUAUUAUCCUUGAGUGCCAGAAUGUCACACAUUUACCUCAGAAUGAAUUGUAUCACAUACUACUAUAUAAAGAGAAUAUGGAAGAUAAA